GGCAGGUCUAGGCCAGCAUCGGUUCUCUUAGGGGGAUAAAGGCCUUGGGAACGUAGCUCUUUAGGGAGUGUUAUAGCCCCUGGCGUAAUACCCUUCGGGGGACCGAGGAUCGCGCUCUGCAAGGAUGCUGGCGUAAUGGUCGUCAACGACCCGUCUUGAAACACGGACCAAGGAGUCGAACAUUUGUGCGAGUGUUUGGGUGUCAAACCCUCACGCGUAAUGAAAGUGAACGGAGGUGAGAGCCUUAGGGCGCAUCAUCGACCGAUCCUGAUGUCUUCGGAUGGAUUUGAGUAAGAGCAUAACUGUUCGGACCCGAAAGAUGGUGAACUAUGCGUGGAUAGGGUGAAGCCAGAGGAAACUCUGGUGGAGGCUCGCAGCGGUUCUGACGUGCAAAUCGAUCGUCAAAUCUGCGCAUGGGGGCGAAAGACUUAUCGAACCAUCUAGUAGCUGGUUACCGCCGAAGUUUCCCUCAGGAUAGCAGUGUUGUCUUCAGUUUUAUGAGGUAAAGCGAAUGAUUAGGGACUCGGGGGCGCUAUAUUGCCUUCAUCCAUUCUCAAACUUUAAAUAUGUAAGAAGCCCUUGUUACUUAGUUGAACGUGGGCAUUCGAAUGUACCAACACUAGUGGGCCAUUUUUGGUAAGCAGAACUGGCGAUGCGGGAUGAACCGAACGCGGGGUUAAGGUGCCAGAGUGGACGCUCAUCAGACACCACAAAAGGUGUUAGUACAUCUUGACAGCAGGACGGUGGCCAUGGAAGUCGGAAUCCGCUAAGGACUGUGUAACAACUCACCUGCCGAAUGUACUAGCCCUGAAAAUGGAUGGCGCUCAAGCGUCUCACCCAUACCUCGCCC
rnacentral:rRNA from 1 species